GGAUGCGAUCAUACCAGCACUAAAGCACCGGAUCCCAUCAGAACUCCGAAGUUAAGCGUGCUUGGGCAAUAGUAGUACUAGGAUGGGUGACCUCCUGGGACGUCCUUGUGUUGCAUUCC
rnacentral:rRNA from 1 species